rnacentral:rRNA from 1 species
CUUGCAACACUGACGGCCUGGUCCAUUUGGAAGCAGCAAAACCGCUGCGUUUUCGACGGCGAGUCCCCCUCCGCCUCCCGGCUCCUCGAGCUUAUCCAGAGCGACGCACGCUCUUGUGCUAGGGAUGGAGCUCACGGUCUAAAUGCAUUGCUGGCAGAGGUGCUUAGCCAUGUAUCCGGACUGAGCAGCCCGUCAUCUCUGCUCCCUGCUCCUUGUCUUGCCUGUGUGCUAGACACCGACCCCCCCUCCCCUUGUACUCACUCUUUCUACCUAUCAAUGAAAAGAUACGCUCUCAAGCGUAUUCGCGAAAAAAUAUAUUAA